CUUGAGCGAGCCGAGCCAGAGCGGGUCGUCCUCGGGCCGUUCCUGACCGUAGACGGCGAGCAGCGCCUGGGCCUC
rnacentral:antisense_RNA from 1 species